AUUGAACGCUGGCGGCAGGCCUAACACAUGCAAGUCGAACGAGUGGCGGACGGGUGAGUAAUGUCUGGGAAACUGCCUGAUGUAGGGGGAUAACUAGUGGAAACGGUAGCUAAUACCGCUUACGAUCGGUUGUGCCGCGAUGGGUUUAGCUAGUAGGUGGGGUAAAGUCUCAUCGAGGCGACGAUCCCUAGCUGGACUGAGAGGGUGACCGGCCACACUGGAACUGAGACACGGUCCAGACUCCUACGGGAGGCAGCAGUAGGGAAUAUUGCACAAUGGGCGAAAGCCUGAUGCAGCCAUGCCGCGUGUAUGAAGAAGGCUUUCGGGUUGUAAAGUUCUUUCAGCGGAGAGGCGUUACCCGCAGAAGAAGCACCGGCUAACUCCGUGCCAGCCGCCGCGGUAAUUC
rnacentral:rRNA from 1 species